UGGUGGAGCGAUUUGUCUGGUUAAUUCCGAUAACGAACGAGACUCUGGCCUAUUAAAUAGUUCGCCGAUUCCGAUCUGUCGGCGUUAACUUCUUAGAGGGUCAAGUGGCUUUUAGCCACGCGAGAUUGAGCAAUAACA
rnacentral:rRNA from 1 species